rnacentral:lncRNA from 1 species
GAGGUGGGGAGAAUGUCACCAUUCGGUUUUUCAGGACCAUCUUACAUAAAGCUUGUGAUGUUCUGAGAUUUUAACUUCCUAGGUGCCAGGACGUUUCAGCAGAAUAUCAAGGUAGGAUUUGCAGGACACAGAUUCUAAAACACAAGUUUGCACACAGGACGUUACAGGAUGUGUUCAUGGCGGUCAACAUCUAUACAAACGCAAAAGAAGUCGGAUUGAGUAGAGAAAGCAAUCGGGCUGCACAG